CCUACGGGAGGCAGCAGUGGGGAAUAUUGCACAAUGGGCGCAAGCCUGAUGCAGCCAUGCCGCGUGUAUGAAGAAGGCCUUCGGGUUGUAAAGUACUUUCAGCGGGGAGGAAGGUGCUGAGGUUAAUAACCUCAGCAAUUGACGUUACCCGCAGAAGAAGCACCGGCUAACUCCGUGCCAGCAGCCGCGGUAAU
rnacentral:rRNA from 1 species